rnacentral:lncRNA from 1 species
GGUUCUGGAGACCCAAACACUCAUCCUCAUGUCCAUUGAGCUGUGCCCCCAUCCUCAGUUUUCUCCCAUUUCUGAGACAUUUUUAUUCACCACACUUUCUCAUCCUAAAGCUCUCCAGCUCUCUGCAAAUGCAAAACUAUAUCAACUCUUAUUUGUUGCUGAGACAGAAGACCUGACCAUAAGCAACUUAAUGGGGGUGUGUGUGGUGGUGUUAAGGGGGGUGAGGGUGGAGAGCUUAUUCUGUGGGGAAGGGAAUGCUGAUAAGAGCUUGAGGCUGCUGGUUUUAUGCAUCCACAGUCAGGAAGCAGACAAAGAUGAAUCCAGGGAGACCAUCUUCUUCCUACUUUUAAUUCAGUCUUGGCCCUCACCCCAGGCAAGGAUGCUGCUCACACAUGGGACAGUACAUGAGGGGUCUUCCCACCUCAAUGAAUCCCCUCUAAAGACUCCCUUGCAGACGGCCCAAAACUUGUUAAUGUUUUUAGCAUAAUUCUUGAUAAUAAAACCUGGAUAAUUCUUGAUCGGUUGAAGCUGACAGUCUUCAACGGAAGGGGACAUUAAUGACAACUUUCUCAAACUCAUGGCAAAUGAAAUUCUACAAUUCAUCAUCUCUCCAUACCUUCAUUUCCCAUAAACUCACCAGGUGGGCUAGAUUUCAAAUCAUUAAUGCUCAGUAUUUUUAAAACAUACGGAAUUUAUAGUAAUGCUUUGAGAAUUUCAUACAACGUGUUUUGAUCCUAUUAACUCUUCUUCUCCCAACUCCUCCCAGAUCCACUCUCACCCUCUCCUAACCAUGUUCUCUCUCUCUCUCUCUCUCUCUCUCUCUGACCUACUGAGUCUGGUUAAUGCUAUGUCUAUACUUAUGGGUAAGGGUCAUCCUCUGGAGUGUGGUUGACCCACUACAAGGCAUACCCUUAAAGAAGACUGACCCUGCCUUUCCCAAAAGUCAUUAAUUGUCAGUAGCUUCUCAGGGUUUGAGCCCAUGAGCCCGUUCCCACUCUCUGCUGGUAUGUUGACUAGCUUGAUCUUGUACAGGCAACCACAAACUCAGAUCCUCACAUGUAUACAGCAAGAACCCAUGCUACCAUCCUUCUACUCCUGUCACAGAGAUUUCUAUGAGAGUCUCUUCUGAGACUGGCAGAAGAGACUAAAUUAAAAACUAUUUUAUUAUUUUUAUGCAUAUACAGGUUUGCCUGCAUAUAUGUCUGUGUACCACGUGUGUGCCUGGUGCCUGUGGAGGCCAGAAAAGGUUGUCAGAUCCCAUGGAACUGGAACUACAUAUGGUUGUGAGCCAUCAUGUAGGUGCUGGGAAUCGAACCCAGUUCUUCUGAAGAGUAGUGAGUACUCUUAACUGCUGAGCCAUCUCUCCUGUGCUGCCAAAGGGCUUGUGUUCUUGCUGUUUCUCUGUGCUGCCGCCUCUCUCCUCUCCUCUGUUGGUGGUAACCCUCCUUAAGUACCAAGGAAACCCAGUGUCCUUCACUGGUGAAUGUUGGUGUACAGACACAUGAGGACAGCAUUUAGCAUACAUAGUGACUGUUCUUCGCUGUGCCAGUCUGGUGGUUGCUUUCUAAGCACCCCCUACCAUUAGCUGUAGGAAUAUAUCCCAGUUUAUCUGAGGUAGCAUUUUUCCCUUUGGAGAGCUUUGAAAAGAUAAAUAGGUUUCCACUUUACCUAGGCUUACUGAAUUCUGAGCAUCUUCAGGAUUAUGAUAAAUGAAUAUUAAAAAUAACAUACUCUGGGCUAGGGAGAGAGCUCAGUUGUUUUAAUGUUUGCUGUGCACGCAUAAAAGGAUCCAAAUUAAUCCCAAGAGUCUAUUAUUAUUAUUGUUGUUGUCUUUAUUUAUUUAUUUAUUAAAAGCUAGGGAUGGUGGAAUCCCAGAAUCUCAGUGAAGGGGAGGUGGAGACAGACAUACCUCUGGUGGCCAGUUGGCUUGCCAACCUAGCCUGCUUGGGAGAGCUCCAGGCUAAACCCUCCUCCAAGCAAACAACAAAUGAAGCACAAGGUGGAACACACACGAGUGCACAUCCGCACGGACUCCUGCACACAUCACAGAGUACAACUAAGGCAGUGUUGAGAUGGAGAGGCAUAGGCUCCAGCCAGUCCCUGUGCUGAGGCACACCCCUCGCUGGCUGCUGAGGCACACCUCUCCAUGGCUGCUGAGGCACACCUCUCCGUGGCUGGGACUAUUCUACUCUCAGCAAGCAUGCCCUCUCACACGGAGAGCAACGGAACAAGGGUUACAUGGGCAGGAGCUGUUGGCUGCCAUGUCAUGGCCAGUUUCAGGAUAAAGUUGAUCAAGGAUCCCUGAUGGCAUCUUUAGCUAUACAAUCGAUGAGCCUCAAGAACUUCCCCACCCUGAACUCUGUGAGAAAAUAAAUCUUAGAUAGUGCAGGAAAUGGGUCAGACACAUCCACUGACCCAUGGAAGAGGCUAAACGUUGUGUGUUUUAAUAACAUUCC